UCUCUUCUUCCUCGUUCUCCUCCUCCGCUGUACCGUCGUCUUCAUCUUCCUCAUUCUCCUCCUCCGCUGUACCGUCGUCUUCAUCUUCCUCAUUCUCCUCCUCCUCUGCUCCGACACCGUCUACGCACUCUAUUCUCUACUAUGUCCUCGAUGAACUCGCCGCAGGAGGAGGCCUCUGUCAAAACAGUGAGAAUGGUGAUAAGGGGGAGAGUGCAAGGUGCGUCGGAUCUAUCGGAAUUGGACGAUUGAUAAUGCGAAGGAGUUAGGGUUGAAAGGUUGGGUUCGGAACCGCCGGGAUGGAUCUGUGGAGGCGUUGUUUUCGGGAGAUGGAGCAGCGGUGUAGGAGAGGUCUUCCUGAUGCUAUGGUGACUGGAAUUCAGGCAUUUCAUUUCCGAGCACGGAUGAUCCUGGGAAUGAAUUCGACUGUGUGAAUGAAUGAAUCAGCGAUUCUGAUCAGGAACGCAACUCCCAAAAGUAGCUGUCGGCGCAGGAAGGAUGUUGCCAAGGCCUGCAGUGCCAGCCAUCGAAGACUUCUCUAACGAAUUCUUCUACUUCAGGCAGAGGGCAAUCCAGUAGCGUUGUUCAGGGUUUAGGGAAACCAACAGGAUUACGAAUGCCUUCUCCCAAAAUCGGGUUCUUUGAUGGGGUGAAAUCAUCCCCUCGCACUCCCAAUGGUUUGCGCACUGUGUCACCCAAAAAUGGAGCUGCUGCAAGCAGCAGUCCAGUUCGAUAAAAAGGUAUUGCUGGAAUAAGCUUCAGCAUAUCGGCGGAUUUAAAGAAAAAAACUUUCAGCAUAUCGGUGGAUUCAUAUUUCAAGGUAUGUU